rnacentral:lncRNA from 1 species
CUGGAAUGGAUGAAGGUGGCUGCGGCAAGGUGGGGGAAUAGGGUUUAGAUGAUUUCUGAUUUGUGGAGAGGGAUGUGAUAUGUGCGGCAAGGUGGUAAAACACCUAUAUAUAGGCACCUAAAACCCUAAUUAAAUCAGAUUGAAACAAUGGGCUAGGGUUUAGGUGCGGCACUUAAGUGGACUAGGGUUAAGGUUUGUAAAAUAGGGCUUCUAGGAUGGAAAGGUGCGGCAUGGGCUUAGGAUAAAUGAUUAGGGUUUAACAUGUGCAGAAAUUGAAUGAUUAGGCCCUAGGAUGCGGCAUGGACUUAGGGUUCACAAGGAAAUUAGGGUUUAAGUCAUCUAAAAGCCCAAAGCCGAGAAUAGAAACUCACGAAAAUGGAAACCUCCAAGAAUAGAAACUUCCAACUUUAGAAA